CACCCUUGCAUUUAGUGUAUCAAUAGGUGGGCGGUAACCUGGCCCACCUCUUUGGUUAUAAAAAGGUCAUGCUGUUCAGCCACUGUGCCAUUUACUUGGUAAAACCUCUGGGUCAAAGCUUUCUCAGUUUUUGCUGUGAAGUGGAAGCCAUCUUUUACUUUUAGUAGCUUUGUUUGUGCAUUUCUCCAUCUUCUUUGAAGAUUUUGUUUCCUGAUUUGCCAGCUACAACCUGCCAAGAUGCCUCGUGGCAAAGGGUACCGUAGAGCUCAGGCCUUGAAGAACAGACAGUUUAUGCCGAAGCCUGUGGAAGAGCUGUUCGAGAUUCUGCCAAGCUGUACGGCUUUUACUCCACGUCACGGAACAGGCUUCAGGCACAGGGUUUGUCGUUGGCCCUUGUCGCCUAACACAGGAAAAAGUCUGAAAGUCAUCAUCCCACCAGAGUCUUCAGACAAGAAGGUACAUUUAGCUAAUAAUUUAUAUUAAUAUUAAACUAUAUUAUGUGCUUAUAGGUUCACACACAGAUUGCUGUGUGUUCUUUAGUUUCUAAAGUGCUUUGUGAUUUUUAUCUUCAGAGGUCCUUCAUUAAACAAUUGUUUCUUCUUCUAGUUUGUCUUUGUCAUAGGAGAUUCACAUCUCCGAGCCAUUGUGGAUGGCUAUGUGAAGGUGCCUGAGGGGAAGCUGUCCUUUGGCUACCUGUCGGUUCCUGGUGGUACAGCAGCCCACCUUACCACUGAGGUCCGGCAGUUAGUUCUCCCACGUGAACCAGAUGCAGUGUGUCUGCUCGCUCCAAGCAACAACCUGGACAGUCCUAUUUCUGAAGCAGAAAAAGACUUCAAGUGUCUUUUGAACACCAUUUCCACUCUUUGUCCAAAUGUUUUUGUUUUGGAUUUCCCUCCAAGACUGAGCCAUGACACCGUUGUGCAGGACCAUCUGAGGAUGAUGUUUCACAGGGUCUCAGUACAAAUGGAUGUCCCAUACUCAUCAAUUGCUGAGAACUUCCCCUUUCAUCGCCUGGAUUUGUGGGGCAGAGAUGGGGUAAGUGAGAAGUUUACAGAUUUUUAAUGAUUAAGAGGUAUUAGCUUUAGCUAAAAAUAUAUUUUUUUUCUAUAGGUUCAUCUCAGUGACAGUGAUGGUAUGGACAUUUUUUCACAAUUGCUCUGGCAAAAAACAUACCUGCACCUCCAAAGUCAGAAGGCCCAGGUUACCCCCAAGAAGUCUGCUGCUAGAGUGGUCGUUCAACACGCAAAGCCCAUUCAACCCCAAGCAGACCAAUCUAAGUGGAAAGUUGUUUUGCCUGGCAAGAAGAGGUCUACUCCAGCUGGUCCAAAGGAGCAGAGAUCAUCUUCAAAGAGAAUUCUUCUUCAUGAGGUGAAUGAUUAAUUUUAAUUAAUUAGGGUUCCAAGCCCAAAGGGCAGAGAACCCUAUUGUUUUUGAUAAAUGAGAUUUUAUUUGAUGUUCGUCAUGUUGAUUGAUAUGAGUUUUUCUAAUAUUGUCUACAUCAAAAUGUUCAGGCCGAAGUCUGCUUUGAAGUGAAUCCCAAAUACUUCCACGAAGAUCUGCUGCAUGUCUUGGAAAAUGACAGUACUGGAUGUCCAGAUGUGCUUUCACCAGAUGUCCGACAAAAAAAGGUAAAUAUGAAGAAAUAUGUUUUUUCAUUAAAAUGUUUUGAUAUUCAUCUUUAAUUCAUUAUUAAUUUUAGAUAUUUGUCACCUAAGA